rnacentral:lncRNA from 1 species
AUUUAUUGUACGACUUUGCCCCCCGCAGACUUAUAGAAAAACAGUACAGUUAACGGGUGUUACACGGACUCUUUUUAGACGAUACACGGACUCUUUUUAUGAAUAGAAUCACUCGUGCAUGAUCAGUGAGUUCAUGGGCACUUUAACUUUCAAUUAGAUUUGAACUUUUUGGUUCACAGACUUAUUUCCUGUCUUUUUAUUGAACAAAAUAUUUACAUUAGCAUCAAUAUCUUUUUUCAAACAUUUCCAGUUAAAUACUAUUCAUAUCUGUACACUAAGGGAUUAGACAUUUAAGUUCAAAGAGGGAAGGGGGGGGGGGGGUAUGGUUUUCUCCUAAAAUAGAUAUUUUGAUCCCAAAUUUUAUGAGAAAAAAAACAUUAUGGUAAAGCAGAUGACAAAUUAAUGUUUUGCAUGAUUCCUGAUUUUCCGAAUACCGUUAAUAGUGCUAAUUUUAACAAAAACAUUUCGGUGAUGGCGUUGAAAAGUAAAUAGUUAAUAUACUCAAAAAGGAACAUACCGCCCCCUUUAUGAAGCAAAAUAUUCGGUCAAAUGUUUUCAAUAUAUGGACAUGAAUAGUAUUUUGGACAAUGCUGAAAGUAAAGAAAUGAUGAUACUGACGUGUAUAUUUCAAUAAAAAUAAGACAGGAAAUAAGUAAAUAAAAAUCAAAUCUAAUAUCAAAGAUAAAGUCCCUAUCAACUCACCAAUGCACGAUUGAUCCUAUAAACAAAAAGUGUUCAUGUAAUACACGUCCAAAUAAGCAGCAAAUCUAGAAGAAAAUCAUUCAACUUAUGUCAUCCAUUUUGGGCGGUAAGCUGCGAUUGGAUCAUAUAUUAACACGUGUUUAAUCCCGUCCAACUUUAUGUCCCAAUUUAAAUGCAUUGAUCGUAAAAAAAAAAACACCCUGCGACCCCCACCACUGAAUAUUAAAUUCAUGCAUUUGGCAACAAACGCGCGAUUUUUACGAUUUUUUUAUGAGGGGAUGGCAUGGCACAUCCUACAUUUUUUCAUCAAAAAUAAAGAUCACAGCCUGUUUAUUUUAAAAUGAAUUGGACCUCCCCCUCUCCGCUUUCCGUUUCGUUCAUAAAAAUCAAACGUUAUCUUACUUACCAC